rnacentral:rRNA from 1 species
CCCUUAGAUGUCCUGGGCUGCACGCGCGCUACACUGAUGUGUCCAGUAAGCACCUAACCUCUUCCGAAAGGAACGGGUAACCUUUGCAAAGCACAUCGUGAUGGGGAUAGAUUAUUGCAAUUAUUAGUCUUGAACGAGGAAUUCCUAGUAAGCACAAGUCAUCAGCUUGUGUUGAUUACGUCCCUGCCCUUUGUACACACCGCCCGUCGCUCCUACCGAUUGAAUGUUCCGGUGAGCUCUUCGGACUGCGCGGUCUGCAGUUUCUGCGUUCCGUGCGGAAAGUUGGGCAAACCUUAACAUUUAGAGGAAGGAGAAGUCGUAACA